rnacentral:rRNA from 1 species
GGACGAACGCUGGCGGCGUGCUUAACACAUGCAAGUCGAACGAUGACGACCGAGCUUGCUCGGUCUGAUUAGUGGCGAACGGGUGAGUAACACGUGAGYAACCUGCCCCYCACUCUGGGAUAACCUCGGGAAAUCGUGGCUAAUACCGGAUAUGAGCUUCUCCUGCAUGGGAGUUGCUGGAAAGUUUUUCGGUGGGGGAUGGACUCGCGGCCUAUCAGUUUGUUGGUGAGGUAACGGCUCACCAAGGCGAUGACGGGUAGCCGGCCUGAGAGGGCGACCGGCCACACUGGGACUGAGACACGGCCCAGACUCCUACGGGAGGCAGCAGUGGGGAAUAUUGCACAAUGGGCGAAAGCCUGAUGCAGCGACGCCGCGUGGGGGAUGACGGCCUUCGGGUUGUAAACCUCUUUCAGCAGGGAAGAAGCGAAAGUGACGGUACCUGCAGAAGAAGCGCCGGCUAACUACGU